rnacentral:tmRNA from 1 species
GGGGCUGACCGGUUUUGACAGCAAGUUGAAAGGGUAAGUAAGCAUGUCGAGCCAUGUGAUCAAGCUCGUAAAUCCUUGACACAACAUUUUUAAUUGGCGAAAAUAAUUUUGCUCUCGCAGCCUAAUCGAAGUUUAGUAGAUUGGCUCUAUCCCGACACAAGGUGACGGGACGGGACGGUUCGCAGGUGGAGAUACUCAAUUCCGGCCUGAUUACGGAUCGCACGCAAUUUUGAGUUAGUUCUGACGAUGUUUCGAAGUCAGGAUGAAAUUAAGAAACUAAGGCAUUAUUUAGGAUGUUUGUUUCCUUGUAUUGCUCGAAAACCAACAACAAACUAAGCGUGUAGAAAGCUUAUCGGUUCCUUGUUUGGACGAGGGUUCGAAUCCCUCCAGCUCCACAA